CCGCGGGAUUAGAGUUUGAUCCUGGCUCAGAGCGAACGCUGGCGGCGUGCUUAACACAUGCAAGUCGAGUGCGCAGCUUUCUGUAGCAAUACAGGAAGUGGGCGCACGGCGCACGGGUGAGUAACACGUGGGCAACCUGCCCUCCAAAGGGGGAUAACCCGCCGAAAGGCGGGCUAAUACCGCAUGACAUUCCGGGAACCUCGGUUCCUGGAUUCAAAGGCCGAAAGGCCGUUGGGGGAGGGGCUCGCGCCCGAUUAGCUUGUUGGCGAGGUAAUGGCUCACCAAGGCUUUGAUCGGUAGCCGGUCUGAGAGGAUGGCCGGCCACACUGGAACUGAGACACGGUCCAGACUCCUACGGGAGGCAGCAGUGGGGAAUAUUGCGCAAUGGGCGAAAGCCUGACGCAGCGACGCCGCGUGGGGGAUGAAGCUUCUCGGAGUGUAAACCCCUUUCGACCCGGACGAAUGUCUCGCAAGAGAUUGACGGUACGGGUAUAAGAAGCCCCGGCUAACUACGUGCCAGCAGCCGCGGUAAUACGUAGGGGGCCAGCGUUGCUCGGAAUUACUGGGCGUAAAGGGUUCGUAGGCGGUGCGGCAAGUCGGGAGUGAAAUCUCUGGGCUCAACUCAGAGGCUGCUUCCGAAACUGCCGUGCUUGAGUGCGGGAGAGGCGAGUGGAAUUACAGGUGUAGCGGUGAAAUGCGUAGAUAUCUGUAGGAACACCCGUGGCGAAGGCGGCUCGCUGGACCGCAACUGACGCUGAGGAACGAAAGCUAGGGGAGCAAACAGGAUUAGAUACCCUGGUAGUCCUAGCCCUAAACGAUCAGGACUUGGGGUGCAUCCCGUUGGGGGUGCGUCCCGUAGCUAACGCGUUAAGUCCUGCGCCUGGGGAGUACGGUCGCAAGACUGAAACU
rnacentral:rRNA from 1 species